rnacentral:rRNA from 1 species
GUCUACGGCCAUACCAUCCUUGAAAGCGCAUGAUCCCGUCAGAUCUCAAAUGCAAUCAAGGGUAGGGCUUGUUCAGUACCAGUGUGGGUGACUGACUGGGAAUAGCAAGUGCUGUAGUCC